UUACUUCAGCAGCACAUAUGCUAAAAUUGAAACAACACAGAGAAGAUUAGCAUGACCCAUAUAUGACAAUGAUACACAAAUUCAUGAAGCAUUUCAUAUUUUU
ensembl:snRNA LOC120099406 U6 spliceosomal RNA